GAUGAACGCUAGCUACAGGCUUAACACAUGCAAGUCGAGGGGAAACGCCAUCGAAAGCUUGCUUUUGAUGGGCGUCGACCGGCGCACGGGUGAGUAACGCGUAUCCAACCUGCCCAUCACUUGGGAAUAACCUUGCGAAAGUAAGACUAAUACCCAAUGACAUCCCACGAAGACAUCUGAAUGGGAUUAAAGAUUUAUCGGUGAUGGAUGGGGAUGCGUCUGAUUAGCUUGUUGGCGGGGUAACGGCCCACCAAGGCAACGAUCAGUAGGGGUUCUGAGAGGAAGGUCCCCCACAUUGGAACUGAGACACGGUCCAAACUCCUACGGGAGGCAGCAGUGAGGAAGAUUGGGCAAUGGGCGAGAGCCUGAACCAGCCAAGUAGCGUGCAGGAUGACGGCCCUAUGGGUUGUAAACUGCUUUUAUAAGGGAAUAAAGUGGGUCUCGUGAGACUUUUUGCAUGUACCUUAUGAAUAAGGACCGGCUAAUUCCGUG
rnacentral:rRNA from 1 species